CCUACGGGAGGCUGCAGUAGGGAAUCUUCCUCAAUGGGGGAAACCCUGACGCAGCAACGCCGCGUGGGGGAUGAAGGUUUUCGGAUUGUAAACUCCUUUUGUUAGAGAAGAUAAUGACGGUAUCUAACGAAUAAGCACCGGCUAGCACCGGGCCAGCAGCCGCGGUAAUACGGAGGGUGCGAGCGUUACUCGGAAUCACUGGGCGUAAAGCGCGCGUAGGCGGUUUAGCAAGUCAGAUGUGAAAUCCCAGGGCUUAACCAUAGAGCUGCAUUGGAAACUGGUAAUCUAGAGUAUGGGAGAGGUAGGUGGAAUUCUUGGUGUAGGGGUAAAAUCCGCAGAGAUCAAGAGGAAUACUCAUUGCGAAGGCGACCUGCUAGAACAUAACUGACGCUGAUGCGCGAAAGCGUGGGGAGCAAACAGGAUUAGAUACCCCAGUAGUC
rnacentral:rRNA from 1 species